rnacentral:rRNA from 1 species
GUUGAACGCUGGCGGCAGGCUUAACACAUGCAAGUCGAGCGGGGUGAUGGUGCUUGCACUAUCACUUAGCGGCGGACGGGUGAGUAAUGCUUAGGAAUCUGCCUAUUAGUGGGGGACAACAUCUCGAAAGGGAUGCUAAUACCGCAUACGUCCUACGGGAGAAAGCAGGGGAUCACUUGUGACCUUGCGCUAAUAGAUGAGCCUAAGUCGGAUUAGCUAGUUGGUGGGGUAAAGGCCUACCAAGGCGACGAUCUGUAGCGGGUCUGAGAGGAUGAUCCGCCACACUGGGACUGAGGCACGGCCCAGACUCCUGCGGGAGGCAGCAGUGGGGAAUAUUGGACAAUGGGGGGAACCCUGAUCCAGCCAUGCCGCGUGUGUGAAGAAGGCCUUAUGGUUGUAAAGCACUUUAAGCGAGGAGGAGGCUCUUUUGGUUAAUACCCAAGAUGAGUGGACGUUACUCGCAGAAUAAGCACCGGCUAACUCUGUGCCAGCCGCCGCAGUAA